CUCGUCCCGAUCGCUGAAGUUAAGCAACGUAGAGUCUGGUCAGUACCAAGACGGGUGACCACUUGGGAAUACCACGUGCUAU